UACGUAGGUGGCAAGCGUUGUCCGGAUUUACUGGGUGUAAAGGGCGUGCAGCCGGAGAGGCAAGUCAGAUGUGAAAUCCGCGGGCUCAACCCGCGAACUGCAUUUGAAACUGCUUCCCUUGAGUAUCGGAGAGGUAACCGGAAUUCCUAGUGUAGCGGUGAAAUGCGUAGAUAUUAGGAAGAACACCAGUGGCGAAGGCGGGUUACUGGACGACAACUGACGGUGAGGCGCGAAAGCGUGGGGAGCAAAAAGG
rnacentral:rRNA from 1 species